CCCGCUGAACUUAAGCAUAUCAAUAAGCGGAGGAAAAGAAACUAACAAGGAUUCCCCUAGUAACGGCGAGUGAAGAGGGAAGAGCUCAAAUUUUGAAUCCGGCACCUUUGGUGUCUGAGUUGUAAUCUAGAGAAGUGCUUUCUGUGGCGGACCGUGCACAAGUCUCCUGGAAUGGAGCGUCAUAGAGGGUGAGAAUCCCGUAUAUGGCACGGACUCCCGUUGCUCUGUGAAACACUCUCAACGAGUCGAGUUGUUUGGGAAUGCAGCUCCAAAUGGGUGGUAAAUGCCAUCUAAAGCUAAAUAUUGGCGAGAGACCGAUAGCGAACAAGUACCGUGAGGGAAAGAUGAAAAGCACUUUGGAAAGAGAGUGAAACAGUACGUGAAAUUGUUGAAAGGGAAACACUUGAAGUCAGUCAUGCCCUUUGGGAUUCGGCCUUGCUUCUGCUUGGUUUACUUCCUGCUGGGUGGGUCAACAUCAGUUUCGGUCAGAGGAAAAAGGCUUGGGGAAGGUGGCAGCAUUGCGCUGUGUUAUAGCCCCUUGUUGUAUACUUUGACCGGGACUGAGGACCGCAGCGUGCCUUUACGGCCGGGGUUGUUAUGCCCACGUACACGCUUAGGAUGUUGGCAUAAUGGCUUUAAGUGACCCGUCUUGAAACACGG
rnacentral:rRNA from 1 species